UCUCUUCAUCACACACACACACACACACACACCUUCUCUUCAUCACAAACACAUACACACACCUUCUCUUCAUCAGCAGGCCUGGCCGGCAGCUGAGGUGCCAAAGCUGAGCGGGCUGGGCGGGCACUGCUGUCGCACGGCACUCUGGGUAGUGGGCACUCCUCCUGAUACCCACACCCACGCACAUCUCCUGCAGUCCCAGGUGCUGAUGAUCAUACGCUGGUAUUGGUAGCAUGGAUGAGAUCAGGCCCUGUGGUGGAGAGUGAGGGUAGCAGAGCACAGGUCAAUCUGGCAGUGACUUCAGGGUACAGUGAAGUUCCCCCCUCCCACCUGGCUGUGACUGUGUCGAGGGCCACUGGCCUCAGAGCUAAGGCCUUCCAACGGGGCAGCAACCCUUACGCUAUCCUCCAGCUGGGGCAGAGGAGAAUCACCACCCCUGUCAUCCACGAUACCCUGAUCCCCCCACUGGUACUGUGAGCUCACCUUCCCCCUGCCCUCCUCGGCCCCCUGGGAUGCCACCGCCUCAGCCCUGACCCUGACCAUCCACCACCAACGCUCCCUACUGGCUAUGCCUGAUAGGUUCCUGGGAACUGUGAGCUCACCUUCCCCCUGCCCUCCUCGGCCCCCUGGGAUGCCACCGCCUCAGCCCUGACCCUGACCAUCCACCACCAACGCUCCCUACUGGCUAUGCCUGAUAGGUUCCUGGGUACUGUGAGCUCACCUUCCCCCUGCCCUCCUCGGCCCCCUGGGAUGCCACCGCCUCAGCCCUGACCCUGUCCAUCCACCACUGACGCUCCCUACUGGCUCUACCUGAUAAGUUCCUGGGUACUGUGAGCUUCAGGCUGGAGGAUGUUGUCAAGAAGCAGGAUGGGAGCAAAGGUUACGUUGAGGAAAACUGAUUCCCACUGAUGUAAUGUAAAUAUAUGCCAUUUAGCAGACUCUUUUAUCCAAAGCGACUUACAGUCAUGAAUCAAUGCAUAAAUUAUCUACAUAUGGGUGGUCCCGGGAAUCGCACCCACUGUCCUAGCAUUGCAAGAGCCAUAUUCUACCAACUGAGUUACAGAGGACCAGUAAUAUAUGAAAUGUAAUGUACAGGAUGUACUGUAUAUGAUGUAAUGUACAGGAUGAUGUAAUAUGAUGUAAUGUACAGGAUGAUGUAAUGUACAGGAUGUAAUUAAAUUCUGAGCCGAGGAAGAAGCCAAAUAAGCGUGAGGACGUGGAAGUAUCUUUCAGGCUGUAUAGAGAUCCUAGGAGCCUUCCAUCCCACUGCCGACCUCUCACCCAGACCCAACCUCUCACCAAGACCCACUCACAACCUUCUCUCCUACUCCAGAAGCCUCUCCCAAACCUCCAACCUUCCAUCCCACUGCCAACCUCUCACCCAGACCCAACCUUCUCUCCUACUCCAGAAGCCUCUCCCAAACCUCCAGCCUUCCCUCCCAAACCCCCACCAAGCCUCCUCCAUCUGCACAAAGAGCCACAUCAGCUGGGAGAGUGACACACACCUCACCACCUUCUGUUCAGCUGGUGGUAAAGCAUCGGGAGCCAAUCCAUCCAUCUUAUGGAGAGGAGAAUUCUGGAGUGCUGGACUCAAUUCCACCACCAUCUGCACCAGUGAGCCCUCAGGAGUCAGCAGACAGCCCAGACUGCGUCACUGCUGCUGAUUUUAGAAAUACCUUCAGACCAGUAUCCUAUUCCCCUGCAUCCAUAAUCCUCUGUGAGACUGGAGACCUGGAGGAUGGCCAGGGAGUGUUCUCUGGACCCAGGAGGAGGACACAGCUCCCGUCAGGGUCCCCUGGGGGAGAUGUAUACAUCAGGGAACGCCAUCGGGACUCAGACUUCCAGUAGCUUCCAAAUGUUCCCAUUCCAACAUUCCCGAUCCCAAGGGAGGGUGAGGAGGGUCUCUUUCAGGUCCUCCUUACGUGCCAGACUGAGGCGUCUCCGCUACAGGUUGGACUCAGGAGAGGCCAGCGGAGAGAGGCGGACUCUGAGACUCCCGGUCUGCUCCAGGGUGUUCUUCUGGUCGACCUCCCCACCUUACGACAGGUUCCCCAGGAUAGACGUGUCAGAGAGACCACAGGUUUCCCCUGUCUAGGUAGAAGAGAAUGACAAUUAAGAAAUACAAGUCUGACUGCACAGAAUGUAUCCUGCUACUUAUAAUACAAC
ensembl:lncRNA